GUUCUCCUACGGGAGGCAGCAGUAGGGAAUCUUCGGCAAUGGGCGAAAGCCUGACCGAGCAACGCCGCGUGAAUGAAGAAGGCCUUCGGGUUGUAAAAUUCUGUUAUAAGGGAAGAAAGGUGAUAGGAGGAGAUGACUAUCAAUUGACGGUACCUUAUGAGAAAGCCACGGCUAACUACGUGCCAGCAGCCGCGGUAAUACGUAGGUGGCAAGCGUUAUCCGGAAUUAUUGGGCGUAAAGAGCGCGCAGGUGGUUAAUUAAGUCUGAUGUGAAAGCCAACGGCUUAAUCGUGGAGGAUCAUUGGA
rnacentral:rRNA from 1 species